rnacentral:lncRNA from 10 species
CCAUUUCACUCUGACGUUCAGCCCCUGCCUCAGUUUCUACAAAGAAAACUCACUCUCAAUAAACAUUCCUAGAACCAUUCCUGAGUUUUGCUGGGGACUUGGGGGUCACAGGGAUGGUCCCUCUGCUGUCAGGGCCUCUCAGUUGGCCUUCACCCCAUGCCAGACCCUCCACCAACCUGUCUUCUCCAGCACCAGCCACCCAGUAAGCUCAACACCCAUCCCUUUAGAUUCUCUAAACCUCAUUUGCUUUCUUUAGCCAUAAUCCCAUAAUCUCUUCCUAGAAUGAAAUAUGGUUUCAGCUCUUAAUCCACACUGAGGACUGAGCUAGUCCCAGCUAGCUGCCCCGCCCACAGUCAUUUUCCAGAGUGUCUGCACUGGGCCUCCUCCAGGGGCAGCCUGAGCUGUGGCCUUGGACACCACCUCCAGUUCUCUUCCUCCAGCUGCCUUUCCCAGCU